rnacentral:rRNA from 1 species
CCUAGGGGGGCUGCAGUGGGGAAUAUUGGACAAUGGGCGAAAGCCUGAUCCAGCCAUGCCGCGUGUGUGAAGAAGGCCUUCGGGUUGUAAAGCACUUUCAGUGGGGAAGAAAGCCUUGGGGCUAAUACCCUCGAGGAAGGACAUCACCCACAGAAGAAGCACCGGCUAACUCCGUGCCAGCAGCCGCGGUAAUACGGAGGGUGCGAGCGUUAAUCGGAAUUACUGGGCGUAAAGCGCGCGUAGGCGGUCUGAUAAGCCGGUUGUGAAAGCCCCGGGCUCAACCUGGGAACGGCAUCCGGAACUGUCAGGCUAGAGUGCAGGAGAGGAAGGUAGAAUUCCCGGUGUAGCGGUGAAAUGCGUAGAGAUCGGGAGGAAUACCAGUGGCGAAGGCGGCCUUCUGGACUGACACUGACGCUGAGGUGCGAAAGUGUGGGUAGCAAACAGGAUUAGAUACCCGAGUAGUC